GGCCUUUUGGCUAAAAUCAAAUAUAGUAUCUGUUCUUAUCAGUAUAAAAU
rnacentral:snRNA from 1 species